rnacentral:tRNA from 1 species
GGGGAUAUAACUCAGUUGGUAGAGUGCUUGCUUAGCAUGCACAAGAUCCUGGGUUCAAUCCCCAGCAUCACCA